rnacentral:rRNA from 14 species
GCAAUAACAGGUCUGUGAUGCCCUUAGAUGUCCUGAACCGCACGCGUGUUACACUGAUGCAUUCAACGAGCUUAUAACCUUGGCCGAGAGGCCUGGGGAAUCUUGUUAAUGUGCAUCGUGAUAGGGAUAGAUUAUUGCAAUUAUUAAUCUUGAACGAGGAAUUCCUAGUAAACGCAGAUCAUCAAUCUGCAUUGAUUACGUCCCUGCCCUUUGUACACACCGCCCGUCGCACCUACCGAUUGAAUGGUCCGGUGAAGCCUCGGGAUUGUGGUCAUGUUCCUUUAUUGGAUUGUGACUGUGAGAACUUGUCUAAACCUUAUCAUUUAGAGGAAGGUGAAGUCGUAACAAGGUUUCCGUAGGUGAACCUGCGGAAGGAUCAUU